rnacentral:rRNA from 1 species
UACAAGGCAUACGGCUCAGUAACGCGUAGUCCAUUUAACCUAUGGACGGGAAUAACCUCGGGAAACUGAGAAUCCAUGCCCGAUAGAACAUUAUGCCUGGAAUGGUUUAUGUUCCAAAUGAUUUAUCGCCGUAGGAUGGGACUGCGGCCUAUCAGUUUGUUGGUGAGGUAAUGGCCCACCAAGACUAUUACAGGUACGGGCUCUGAGAGGAGUAGCCCGGAGAUGGGUACUGAGACACGGACCCAGGCCCUAUGGGGCGCAGCAGGCGAGAAAACUUUGCAAUGUGCGAAAGCACGACAAGGUUAAUCCGAGUGGUUUCUGCUAAAGAAACCUUUUGUCAGUCCUAAAAACACUGAUGAAUAAGGGGUGGGCAAGUUCUGGUGUCAGCCGCCGCGGUAAAACCAGCACCUCAAGUGGUCAGGGAUGAUUAUUGGGCCUAAAGCAUCCGUAGCCGGCUCUGUAAGUUUUCGGUUAAAUCUGUACGCUCAACGUAC